ensembl:piRNA 21ur-3290 ncRNA
UUCCUUCCGUUAUGGGUCGAA